rnacentral:rRNA from 1 species
AGAGGACGAUCAGCCACACUGGGACUGAGACACGGCCCAGACUCCUACGGGAGGCAGCAGUGGGGAAUAUUGGACAAUGGGCGCAAGCCUGAUCCAGCAAUACCGCGUGUGUGAAGAAGGCCCUAGGGUUGUAAAGCACUUUCAAUGGGGAGGAAAACCUGCCGGCCAAUACCCGGUAGCUUGACAUUACCUAUAGAAGAAGCACCGGCUAACUCCGUGCCAGCAGCCGCGGUAAUACGGAGGGUGCGAGCGUUAAUCGGAAUUACUGGGCGUAAAGCGUGCGUAGGCGGUUCGUUAAGUCAGAUGUGAAAGCCCCGGGCUCAACCUGGGAACUGCAUUUGAAACUGGCGAACUAGAGUUGAGUAGAGGGGAGUGGAAUUUCAGGUGUAGCGGUGAAAUGCGUAGAUAUCUGAAGGAACACCAGUGGCGAAGGCGACUCCCUGGACUCAAACUGACGCUGAGGUACGAAAGCGUGGGUAGCAAACAGGAUUAGAUACCCUGGUAGUCCACGCCGUAAACGAUGUCAACUAGCCGUUGGUCCUAUUUACAGGAUUAGUGGCGCAGCUAACGCAUUAAGUUGACCGCCUGGGGAGUACGGCCGCAAGGUUAAAACUCAAAGGAAUUGACGGA